UGUGCCUCACUUUGAUAAUAUGUAUUUUGAAAAUAAUCGAAAACUGUUUAGUACUAAGGUUGACAGUGCUCUUCAGAUAAAGAUAAAGUCUUAUCCUUUUCUAGAACAUGUAGGACUUUUUCUUUUCUAGAUUAUACUGUCUAUGUAUUUUGUUUAUAUAGUUUCUCGAGUUUUGAUUAUUAAGACAUAUUAAAUAACAUUACUAACCUCUGUUUUAAAUAAAAUGGCAUGAGCUUGCAUA